rnacentral:rRNA from 1 species
CACGUAGGGGGCGAGCGUUGUCCGGAAUUACUGGGCGUAAAGGGCGUGUAGGCGGCCUGUCAAGUCAGGUGUGAAAAACCGGGGCUCAACCCUGGUCGUGCACUUGAAACUGGCGGGCUUGAGUGCAGGAGAGGAAAGUGGAAUUCCCAGUGUAGCGGUGAAAUGCGUAGAUAUUGGGAGGAACACCAGUGGCGAAGGCGACUUUCUGGCCUGUAACUGACGCUGAGGCGCGAAAGCUAGGGGAGCAAACAGGAUUAGAUACC